rnacentral:rRNA from 1 species
AUUGAACGCUGGCGGCAGGCCUAACACAUGCAAGUCGAGCGGAUGAUGGGAGCUUGCUCCUUGAUUCAGCGGCGGACGGGUGAGUAAUGCCUAGGAAUCUGCCUGGUAGUGGGGGACAACGUUUCGAAAGGAACGCUAAUACCGCAUACGUCCUACGGGGGAAAGCAGGGGACCUUCGGGCCUUGCGCUAUCAGAUGAGCCUAGGUCGGAUUAGCUAGUUGGUGGGGUAAUGGCUCACCAAGGCGACGAUCCGUAACUGGUCUGAGAGGAUGAUCAGUCACACUGGAACUGAGAAACGGUCCAGACUCCUACGGGAGGCAGCAGUGGGGAAUAUUGGACAAUGGGCGAAAGCCUGAUCCAGCCAUGCCGCGUGUGUGAAGAAGGUCUUCGGAUUGUAAAGCACUUUAAGUUGGGAGGAAGGGCAGUAAGCUAAUACCUUGCUGUUUUGACGUUACCGACAGAAUAAGCACCGGCUAACUCUGUGCCAGCAGCCGCCGUAAGAC